rnacentral:rRNA from 1 species
UACGAAGGGUGCAAGCGUUAAUCGGAAUUACUGGGCGUAAAGGGUGCGUAGGCGGUUGUUUAAGUCUGUUGUGAAAUCCCCGGGCUCAACCUGGGAAUGGCGAUGGAAACUGGGCAGCUAGAGUGUGUCAGAGGAGGGUGGAAUUCCCGGUGUAGCAGUGAAAUGCGUAGAGAUCGGGAGGAACACCAGUGGCGAAGGCGGCCUUCUGGACCAAUACUGACGCUCAUGCGCGAAAGCGUGGGGAGCAAACAGG